GGAAUCCUACAAAUUAAAAUGACAAGUUAAGAGGAACAAAUACUGGACGACACAAAUACCAAGUCUAGAGCUAUGCAUUUUCUUCAUUCUGUAAAAAUACAGUGAAGAAAAACAACAAUUUUGUUAUAUUAAGUAAUAAUAUCAGGGACAGCUAUGAGAGGACAGCUGAAAAAGUUACAUCAUUCCUUCCCAUCCUCAUCUCCCACCCUCUUCAAAGCUCUGUCCAUAAAGCCACAUGAAUGCUGCUCUCCAUCCCCUAUUUACUCCAGAUUAAUCUUCAGAAUCAAUGGAAUUGGUUUCGAAAGGGCUGGACUGGAACUUUAAGCAAGCAGUAUAAGAACAUAUUUAUAUGAAACUAAAGAGAGAUGGUCCAAGGAAGGGAAAGAAAAAUUGCUGUAUAGCAAUGAUUUCCGGGCUGUCACUAUUCAGUAACCAACUGCAGCCUAAUAUUCAUAUUAUGCACUAGAAUUAUAGCAUGAGAUUGAAAGACAAAGAAGAGUAGAAUUUUGCAACCUUCUGGAAUUCAGGGCUUGCACAGAACUGAUUUAGAGAACAGCUCAACCUAGACGCGAAGGGUAAGAGGCUGGUAUUCCCCCCCCCCCACAUCUGGGACACGAGGCAUCAGGGCAAGACCAGCAGAAAACAAGUUUGUAUGGAUAGUCAACACAACUGGGUAUUUUUUGACAUUAGGUAUGUUCAAUAUUCUUGCAGCAAGAGAAAAAACAGACCAUACACAUCUCAAAAUUAAACUAGACAUUUUCCUUAGGUUGUUUCUGUAUGACACUCCGUUGCUUAAGUGAAUCUUUCAAUACAGCAUACCUUGGACCUAUUUAUGCUUUCUCACCUAGUUAAAAGAAAGUACUAUUGUCCAAAGGUUAAUUCACUUACCCGUGAGUUAGGAUUGUCCAACACCACAAAAAUAACAAAGAUAUUUGCAUUCUGAACAGACUGAACAGCUGCUGUGACACGUUCCUUGCCCUCCAGGAAAAGACCUCUUCCAUCAGAUACUAUCAGGAGCAGCUGAGCAGUUUCUAUCAAGAAAAAUACUUUAGUUUUAAACAAAACUUAACACAAAACUUUCUAUAACAGAGAAAAAGAUACAAAAUGCCAAUAUUUCAUCACAACUCUGAAUUGCUCUAAUUAUUAGUUCUAUUCCUCAAGACCCAGCUUCUUUAUCUGCAGCAGGGAAUAUAAGCAAUUUUCACCUAUCUGCGGUUCCCAAGUGGCUGGAAAUGACUUCUGAUGUCAUUUCCAGCUGCCAUGUUGAAGCACUGAGCCAUUUUGUGGCUCCUCUUUGUUAAAAAAAGAAGAAUGAAUGAAAAAUUGGGGGAUUUGGGAGGCAUCUCUGGAGAACGAGGUUCUAUGCUUUACCCUUAUUUCUGCUCCCUUCCUGCUUUUUUGACUUUUUUUUUUUUUUUUUAAGAGUAAGGAACCUAACCACUGGACUCCCAUAGAGAUAAAGUUUCUUUAUUCAUGGUCAAUGUUCCCUCUAACAGGGAUUCCCAGAUCUUGUUGACUACAAUUCCCAUAAUCCUCAAGCAAAAGCCACUGCAGCUGGGGAUUCUGGAAGUUGUAGUCAAGAAUAUCUGGGAAUCCCUGUUAGAGGGAACAUUGUUCAUGGUUUCCGAAUUUGUGCCAAUUGGUGGGAAAGGAACCCCUGCAAAUAAAGAGGGUCUCCUGUAUUCAAUACUUGUACAAUCUGUGUACUGUAUUCACAUGUUAGCAGGUACAGCAAUACACUUCCUAUCUGUACCUGCAUUUCAGGGGACCUAUACCCACAUUCAUUGUUAAAUUAAUGCUGGUACAGUCAUUUCAUACAAAAACAUGUACGUGUGCACAGAUAUCUGAAUGGAGGAACAACAGAACGUCUGAACAACUGAGCUCAGAACUGCUCAUUUCAGACUUGCUGUUUUAGAGUCACGAGAAAGUGUUUGAUAUGUUUGCAAAAAUGACAACCCUGAAGAGGAUGUAAGCUUUGCUUUCUAAAAAUGCACUAACUGAAAAUAGCUAUGACACUCAAUCCUAAUGAAACCUCAACAGGAAUUUUUGGCAAGCAAAGAUAAUAGAUAGAGCCACCAUAUUUCCAAAUGUUGCUCCAUUGUUUAAAUAAGAGCUUGGAAUGACUUCUGUUUGAAUAAAGAGGAUUCUGUUUAGAGAUCAACCCCUCUGGUAAAUUCAGUGUAGAAAGAGUUCUAUUUCCAUGGCAACAAGAAUCAUUUUGUAUGAAAAAGUGAGACUUACCUGGAGUGAUGCUUUGAGACAACUGCUGUGCUGCAGCAAACAUAUUUGUUGAGGAUUCUAAAAACUGUAGAAAAACAAGGGAAUAAUCUGACUCAUUACAUAUGAACCAAGAACUCUGUCUUCAAGUCAGUGAUACCAAUGUGAUAGAAAUGAAUGGGAAUGCAAAUAGGGAGCUGCAGCCUAACUGGGAGCUCCAAAAGCGGCACUUUAGCCAUGAUGCCCCCUGAAUUACUUUGAAUGGACUGCAGUUCAAGUGCCAUACACAGCUGCUUAAACUGGGGCACUUCACACAUUUAUUUAUUUAAUUCCAUUUAUAUCCCAACUCUCCCUCCAAGGAGCCCAUAAUGGUGUAUAUGGUUAUGUUUAUCCUCAAAACACGCCUGUGAGGGAGGUUAGACGGAAUGAGGGUUUUGAACUGAGGUCUCCCUGCUCCUAGUUCAACACUCUAACCACUAUUUUCACCCAUAACCCCCAAACUGGCCUUCCUCCUCCCACCCCACCCCACAUGUUGCUUGCGGCUGCUGCUUUUUCCAGUCACAGCUUCUGACCAGAGUGGAGACCAGAGUGUCUCCAAUCAUUUGAAACAAGGCCUCUCUAUAUGACCUGGUCUAUGCAUGCAGCAAAACAAAGUAGUAGAGCUGUAAAAUUCAGACUGUGGGAAGAGGCAGGGCAGGAGAAUCACAUUUUAAAUUUUCCCCCCUCUCUCCGCUGACCAUGAACACCCACCCCUCCCAAGGAGUAAAAACAAGCACAGGGAGGGAUAAAUGUUCUAGCUCAAUCUGCUCUCUCCUGAGCUACUUUUCCACUUGUAGGGGAAAUUCAAAAAUGUAGUUCCCACUCCAUCCCCGGCAGUCUUAAAUGGUGAAACUCAUUCCUCUGUAUUCAUCCAAAGGAAGGAGAUCAAUCUAAGGAGCAUGUCAUGAAGGCCAGGUGAGGCUCAGCGUUUGAGAAUGGCUAGCUCUAGAGGAAGCAGGGCAGGAAGACUGGGAAAAGCGAUCUCUUCCAAUGAGGCUCUUAAAGUCUUGCUGAUUUACACAAGUCCUGCUCUAGAGUGAGUGGGAGGAGAUCACCCACUUUACAUUCCCUUCCCCAACACAGAAGAAUAUUUUCUUUUGUAAUAUUGUAUGGAAAGAGGUGCAAAUAAAAAGCGCGUAGCAAGCAGAACCAGCUUAUUCAAGAAACAAGACAGUUUGGGGUCUGGAACAAGAGUUAUUUAAGAAGAAACAAAAAUCUCUUCAGAAUGUUCAAAUACACAUUGUAUUCACAGUCCCCUGGAUUGCAAGUCAUUUUUAUCCCUCCUUCUCUUCCCACCGGCUCAGGCAGCUGACAACUCAUAUUAAGAAGGAAGACAGCAGUGCCAUUCAUCCAAAGAGGUAAUACUGGGAAAUACCUGAGCUAUCUUAGUUUUCUUUUGUUCAAAUUUGCAGAGCUGCAGUAUCUGGGUUCCUGAUUGUUCAUUAAAUUGUUCAUGGAAUGGAUGCAGUAGCUGAACCGUCUCUCCAAAGCUGAAAUAAGAUGUGGCAUGCAGUUUAAAAUUAUGCACUCUUUGCACUAUGCAAGUGCUACACUAAUAGUCAUUUUAGCAUCCUACCUGCAUACAGCAAUUUGUCCCACUUCUAAGAGAGUCAAAGCAUUUCCAAUCACUGCCAGGGAUUCAUAAGCAAGCUAUGGAAAAAUAAAUCAAAUAAUAUUGGACCCCAUUAUAGAUCUUAUCUAAAUUCGUGAAAUUUGGCACAGAAUUAAGAGUUAACCAUUUUAAAAAUUCUAAAAUGCAGCAUCCUAAAGUGAACUUUUCCUUAAAUAUAGCAAUAUAUGAUCAUUGAUAUUAUUGCAAAAAGACAGCAAGAUUCAAGCAUGAUAUACCCCAGAAUGUAAUCUGACACUUGACAGUGGCUGCUUUGUCCAAGUGAGUAUCUCAGGUGAUAAUACAGUUCUUUUUGCAAGGAGAGACCUGCACACACAUCUAUGGUAUUGCAAUGGAAUGUUAAAACAUUGGGGUCCUGGAUUGGCCUGGCAUCUGAAAGAGUCCCCAUGGGGGUAGAGAGAGGGAGAAUGAGAGCAGCGGGUGGAUGGGCAGAGAGGGAAGGAGGAAGAAACAUCAGGAGCUAGCAACAACUCCCCAAGCCAGUUAUAUGCAAGUCUGAAACUAUAAAUGGGCAUGUAUAUGUAUAUUUACUGCAUUAAUGAAUUGAGUGUAAACUGCAACAUGUAGCUUUUUCAUAAUUAUUGUUUUACCUGCUUAGAGUGGUUGUCUGCCAUACUGGCUGAGUCAUCAAGAGCUAAGCAAAUCUGGUACUGCCGUUUGCUGGGCUUGGUCCUUCGUAACCAGAUUUUGUCUUUUCGGAACUGACUGGCAAUGUAUGGAAUUACUUUACGCAUGUUCAGCCUUUUCCCUGUUCUAUAAUCACCUCUGGUAGUUAGGAAAUACAAACACACAGGUUUUAACGGGGUGGUGGUGGUCAGAAAUACAUUUUACACAGAAAUACAUUUUACUUUACACAAACUAGUAAUUUUGAUGUUAAGGAAUACAGACAGAAAAGGAUUCUACAACUAAGGGUUCAAGGCUCAUAUUUACAUAUAUAGUUGUCCCAAUUUUUAGAGGAGCCGAGAAAUAUUGAUUGAGGUGGUAGUUUUGAAAAACAUAAAAAGCAUUUUUCACAACUUUUCUAAAAAUGAGGAUUGGUGCAAAAUGGUAAAAUUCAGCUCUUCUUCAAAGUAAUGACAAGUGCAAAGUUAACCUGGCAAUGUAUACUCCAUGCUUAAACAAGUAACUUUAGAAUUCUUAUGUAGAAAAUUCAAACUUUGUAGCCUGCAAACAUUAUGCAAAUCAAGCACAUUUAUUUACAUUUAUAGCCUACUUUUCUUCUGAGGAGCUCAGAGCGGUGUAAAAGCUUAUGUAAAGGUUUUUAAAAUUUAUUUAAAGUUGUUUAUUAUUAUUAAUUGUUGUUAUGCUAUGUACACACAGUCUACCAGAUGUUAUUGACUGGAUUUGGUAAUUUAAUUAUUGGUCCCUUUCCAAGGGUCUAGGAUAAUUAAAGAAAAAUUAAAUAUAUCUUAUUAGUA